rnacentral:ncRNA from 2 species
CGGGCGGCGGGGCGCUCCGGCAUCCACAAAAAUUUGCGGGCAUUGGGGAACGAGGUGAGAAUCCUCGACAGUGCCGCUACGGUGUUUCCUUCGGGAUUCAAGGUUCGACCUUUUUCCCGAUUCAAGGUCGAACCUUGGGGAAAGUCCGAGUACCAAGCCGCAAGUUAUCGGUUGCA